rnacentral:rRNA from 1 species
CCUACGGGUGGCAGCAGUAGGGAAUAGUGCUCAAUGGGGGAAACCCUGAAGCAGCAACGCCGCGUGGAGGAUGAAGGUUUUCGGAGGGUAAACUCCUUUUGGUAGAGAAGAGAAUGACGGUAGCUAACGAAUAAGCACCGGCUAACGCCGUGCCAGCAGCCGCGGUAAUACGGAGGGUGCAAGCUUUACUCGGAAUCACUGGGCGUAAAGAGUUCGUAGGUGGCAUAUGAAGUCUGGUGUUAAAUGCAGACGCUCAACUUCUGUUCGGCACUGGAUACUGGUAAGCUUGACUGCGGUAGAGGUAACGGGUAUUCCUGGUGUAGCGGUGAACUGCGUAGAUAUCAGGCGGAACCUCGGUGGCGUCCGCGCUUUACUGGGCCGUA